UACGUAGGGCGCAAGCGUUAUCCGGAAUUACUGGGCGUAAAGGGCUCGUAGGUGGCCAACUAAGUCAGACGUGAAAUCCCUCGGCUCAACCGGGGAACUGCGUCUGAGACUGAUGAGCUCGAGUGCAGGAGAGGAACGCGGAAUUCCAGGUGUGAGCGGUGAAAUGACGUAGAUAUCUGGAGGAACACCGGUGGCGAAGGCAGUUCUCUGGGCCGUAACUGACGCUGAGGAGCGAAAGCGUGGGGAGCGAACAGGA
rnacentral:rRNA from 1 species